rnacentral:rRNA from 1 species
GAUGAACGCUGGCGGCGUGCCUAAUACAUGCAAGUCGAGCGAACAGAUGAGGAGCUUGCUCCUCUGACGUUAGCGGCGGACGGGUGAGUAACACGUGGAUAACCUACCUAUAAGACUGGGAUAACUUCGGGAAACCGGAGCUAAUACCGGAUAAUAUAUUGAACCGCAUGGUUCAAUAGUGAAAGACGGUUUUGCUGUCACUUAUAGAUGGAUCCGCGCCGCAUUAGCUAGUUGGUAAGUUAACGGCUUACCAAGGCAACGAUGCGUAGCCGACGUGAGAGGGUGAUCGGCCACACUGGAACUGAGACACGGUCCAGACUCCUACGGGACGCAGCAGUCGGGAAUCUUCCGCAAUGGGCGAAAGCCUGACGGAGCAACGCCGAGUGAGUGAUGAAGGUCUUCGGAUCGUAAAACUCUGUUAUUAGGGAAGAACAAAUGUGUAAGUAACUAUGCACGUCUUGACGGUACCUAAUCAGAAAGCCACGGCUAACUACGUG